CUCGUAGGCGGCCAACUAAGUCAUACGUGAAAUCCCUCAGCUUAACUGGGGAACUGCGUGUGAUACUGGAUGGCUUGGAUUUGGGAGAGGGAUGCGGAAUUCCAGGUGUAGCGGUGAAAUGCGUAGAUAUCUGGAGGAACACCGGUGGCGAAGGCGGCAUCCUGGACCAAUAUUGACGCUGAGGAGCGAAAGCUAGGGGAGCAAC
rnacentral:rRNA from 1 species